rnacentral:precursor_RNA from 1 species
CGUGGAGAUUUUGUUGAGAUGCUACGAGCGUAUCUUGCUUUGAACAAGGGCAUCUAAAGUCACAGAUGCGCGUGAUUAUUGUUCUAGACUUGCAGACUUCCUUUUUUUUUUUUUUUGCAAAUCCAGAUUUGUUUUCUGAAUGGUGAAUUCGUGGUCCAGUAAGGUUUUGAUACCUUUCAAAGAGGUAAACUUAACA